GACGAAGGAUGCAAGCGUUAUCCGGAUUCAUUGGGUUUAAAGGGAGCGUAGGUGGCCUUAUAAGUCAGUGGUGAAAUCUCUGGGCUUAACCCAGAAAUUGCCAUUGAUACUGUAGGGCUUGAGUAUAGAUGCCGUUGGCGGAAUAUGACAUGUAGUGGUGAAAUACAUAGAGAUGUCAUAGAACACCGAUUGCGAAGGCAGCUAACGAAACUAUAACUGACACUGAGGCUCGAAAGUGUGGGGAUCAAACAGGG
rnacentral:rRNA from 1 species